GGCAAGAUGGCCGAGCGGUCCAAGGCGCCAGGUUCAGGUCAACCUGAAUUUUCAGAUCACCCAGAUCUUCCUGGUCUCCGAAAGGGGGCGUGAGUUCGAAUCUCACUCUUGUCA
rnacentral:tRNA from 1 species